rnacentral:lncRNA from 1 species
GCAUCACUCUUCCCGCUUUACACUCUUCCUCACCCAAGAAAUAAUUACAAAGUAAUUAGGGAAAGGGAAUCAAUGACAUCACCAUAAAGUCAAGUAACAACAAAAAAUUAAUAAAGUAAACGUAAAGAACAACGUGACUCAAUUAUCAGCAAAAAUCAGGGAAAUCAAGGACAAGUGCACGAUAUAUACAACAAUUCAAU